UUGUUGGUAAGGUAAAAGCUUACCAAGGCUUCGAUCAGUAGCUGGUCUGAGAGGACGACCAGCCACACUGGGACUGAGACACGGCCCAGACUCCUACGGGAGGCAGCAGUGGGGAAUUUUGGACAAUGGGGGCAACCCUGAUCCAGCCAUGCCGCGUGAGUGAAGAAGGCCUUCGGGUUGUAAAGCUCUUUCAGCCGGAACGAAACGGUUACGGUUAAUACCCGUGACUACUGACGGUACCGGAAGAAGAAGCACCGGCUAACUACGUGCCAGCAGCCGCGGUAAUACGUAGGGUGCGAGCGUUAAUCGGAAUUACUGGGCGUAAAGCGUGCGCAGGUGGUUUUGUAAGUCAGAUGUGAAAGCCCCGGGCUCAACCUGGGAACUGCGUUUGAAACUACAAGACUAGAGUGUGGCAGAGGGGGGUGGAAUUCCGCGUGUAGCAGUGAAAUGCGUAGAGAUGUGGAGGAACACCGAUGGCGAAGGCAGCCCCCUGGGUCAACACUGACGCUCAGGCACGAAAGCAUGGGGAGCAAACAGGAUUAGAUACCCUGGUAGUCCAUGCCCUAAACGAUGUCAACUAGUUGUCGGGCCUUUACGGGCUUGGUAACGUAGCUAACGCGUGAAGUUGACCGCCUGGGGAGUACGAUCGCAAGAUUAAAACUCAAAUGAAUUGACGGGGACCCGCACAAGCGGUGGAUUAUGUGGAUUAAUUCGAUGCAACGCGAAAAACCUUACCUACCCUUGACAUGUAUCGAAGCCCGCAGAAAAGCGGGGGUGCCCGAAAGGGAACGAUAACACAGGUGCUGCAUGGCUGUCGUCAGCUCGUGUCGUGAGAUGUUGGGUUAAGUCCCGCAACGAGCGCAACCCUUGUCAUUAAUUGCCAUCAUUUAGUUGGGCACUUUAAUGAGACCGCCGG
rnacentral:rRNA from 1 species